rnacentral:rRNA from 1 species
AAAAACAUGCCUUCGGGGCUCCUUGGUGAUUUCAUAAUAACUUCACGAAUCGCAUGGCCUUGCGCCGGCGAUGGUUCAUUCAAAUUUCUGCCCUAUCAACUUUCGAUGGUAGGAUAGUGGCCUACCAUGGUGGCAACGGGUAACGGGGAAUUAGGUUCGAUUCCGGAGAGGGAGCCUGAGAAACGGCUACCACAUCCAAGGAAGGCAGCAGGCGCGCAAAUUACCCAAUCCCGAUACGGGGAGGUAGUGACAAUAAAUACUGAUACAGGGGCUCUUUUGGGUCUUGUAAUUGGAAUGAGAACAAUCUAAAUCCCUUAACGAGGAACAAUUGGAGGGCAAGUCUGGUGCCAGCAGCCGCGGUAAUUCCAGCUCCAAUAGCGUAUAUUAAAGUUGUUGCAGUUAAAAAGCUCGUAGUUGAACCUUGGGCCCGUCCUGCCGGUCCGCCUCACCGCGAGUACUGGUCCGGAUGGGCCUUUCUUUCUGGGGAAUCCCAUGGCCUUCACUGGCUGUGGCGG